rnacentral:rRNA from 1 species
AAGGGAAACCGAGUCUUAACUGGGCGUUAAGUUGCAGGGUAUAGACCCGAAACCCGGUGAUCUAGCCAUGGGCAGGUUGAAGGUUGGGUAACACUAACUGGAGGACCGAACCGACUAAUGUUGAAAAAUUAGCGGAUGACUUGUGGCUGGGGGUGAAAGGCCAAUCAAACCGGGAGAUAGCUGGUUCUCCCCGAAAGCUAUUUAGGUAGCGCCUCGUGAACUCAUCUUCGGGGGUAGAGCACUGUUUCGGCUAGGGGGCCAUCCCGGCUUACCAACCCGAUGCAAACUACGAAUACCGAAGAAUGUUAUCACGGGAGACACACGGCGGGUGCUAACGUCCGUCGUGAAGAGGGAAACAACCCAGACCGCCAGCUAAGGUCCCAAAGUCAUGGUUAAGUGGGAAACGAUGUGGGAAGGCACAGACAGCCAGGAUGUUGGCUUAGAAGCAGCCAUCAUUUAAAGAAAGCGUAAUAGCUCACUGGUCGAGUCGGCCUGCGCGGAAGAUGUAACGGGGCUAAACCAUGCACCGAAGCUGCGGCAGCGACACUAUGUGUUGUUGGGUAGGGGAGCGUUCUGUAAGCCGUUGAAGGUGGCCUGUGAGGGUUGCUGGAGGUAUCAGAAGUGCGAAUGCUGACAUAAGUAACGAUAAAGCGGGUGAAAAGCCCGCUCGCCGGAAGACCAAGGGUUCCUGUCCAACGUUAAUCGGGGCAGGGUGAGUCGACCCCUAAGGCGAGGCCGAAAGGCGUAGUCGAUGGGAAACAGGUUAAUAUUCCUGUACUCGGUGUUACUGCGAAGGGGGGACGGAGAAGGCUAUGUUGGCCGGGCGACGGUUGUCCCGGUUUAAGCAUGUAGGCGGAUGUUCCAGGUAAAUCCGGAACGUUACUAACGCUGAGGUGUGAUGACGAGGCACUACGGUGCUGAAGUGACAAAUGCCCUGCUUCCAGGAAAAGCCUCUAAGCAUCAGGUAACAUCAAAUCGUACCCCAAACCGACACAGGUGGUCAGGUAGAGAAUACCAAGGCGCUUGAGAGAACUCGGGUGAAGGAACUAGGCAAAAUGGUGCCGUAACUUCGGGAGAAGGCACGCUGAUAUGUAGGUGAAGCCCCUGCGGGUGGAGCUGAAAUCAGUCGAAGAUACCAGCUGGCUGCAACUGUUUAUUAAAAACACAGCACUGUGCAAACACGAAAGUGGACGUAUACGGUGUGACGCCUGCCCGGUGCCGGAAGGUUAAUUGAUGGGGUUAGCGGCAACGCGAAGCUCUUGAUCGAAGCCCCGGUAAACGGCGGCCGUAACUAUAACGGUCCUAAGGUAGCGAAAUUCCUUGUCGGGU